rnacentral:tRNA from 3 species
GCAGAAGUGGCGGAAUUGGCAGACGCGCACGGUUCAGGUCCGUGUGGUAGCAAUACCGUGAGAGUUCAAGUCUCUUCUUCUGCACGA